UACGGAAGGCAGCAGUGGGGAAUAUUGCACAAUGGGCGAAAGCCUGAUGCAGCUAUGCCGCGUGUAUGAAGAAGGCCUUAGGGUUGUAAAGUACUUUCAUCGGGGAGGAAAAAACAAAACUAAUAAUUUUAUUUCUUGACGUUACCCGAAAAAGAAGCACCGGCUAACUCCGUGCCAGCAGCCGCGGUAAUACGGAGGGUGCUAGCGUUAAUCAGAAUUACUGGGCGUAAAGAGCACGUAGGUGGUUUUUUUAAAGUCAGAUGUGAAAUCCCUGGGCUUAACCUGGAACUGCAUUUUGAAACUGAAAUACUAGAGUAUCGUAGAGGGAGGUAGAAUUCUAGGUGUAGCGGUGAAAUGCGUAGAUAUCUGGAGGAAUACCUGUGGCGAAAGCGGCCUCCUAAACGAAUACUGACACUGAGGUGCGAAAGCGUGGGGAGCAAACAGGGAUUGAACC
rnacentral:rRNA from 1 species